GCCAAAGUAAAGUAGGUGAUAUG
rnacentral:siRNA from 1 species